rnacentral:rRNA from 2 species
CGACCGCGACCCCAGGUCAGACGGGACUACCCGCUGAGUUUAAGCAUAUCAAUAAGCGGUGGAG